CAGUCUCGCUUAAUUCAGUGUACCACUUAGGUUGAAAACUGUAAUUUGUUUGUGUCAUCAAUCUGUGUGACAAUGUUGUCCAGCAGCUGUCCAGGUAUAGUGAUGUAUGGGUAUAGUGACGUUUGCCUGAGGCCUAGCCCUGCAUACCUGUUGGGAUUCAACUCUGGGAAUGGGCUGGAUCAGUAGAGUAAAAUGAAAAGGGAGUAAGAAAAGUAAGAGUAAUGAUGAGUGAUUCUAAAGAUAGACCAUGGUUUAAUUGCUCAAUAGUGGAGCAAGAAGACUUGAUCAAACAGCAAUGAAAAGGUCAAGGAACUGGUGGCCUUGAAGAAUAGGAGAACGCUAAGAAGAUGGGCAGAAAUCAAAGCUUCCUGGUGUGAGGUUGUGGUAGAAGAUUCCUCCUGGUUGAUCAAUGUAUAGAAGAUGAAAUGGAUUCCAGUUGUGGGAAAGAAGAAGUAAUGCAGUCAAAAGUCCUGAAUUGUCUUGAAUUAUAUGUAGAAGCUAGCCAGAUAGUAAAAGUGGGGAGGGGAAAUUUCAGAGCAAAGGGACAGAUUGUCAAAAAUUAUAGUUUUGUGUUGUUUUAUUUUACUGUGGAACUAUAAGCUGUUUGAUUUGGUUGGAUCAUAUAGUAGAACAAUUAUGUAACAACCGUUCACUGGGAUAUCCAAAAGGCAUCCUCUCAGACUUGUUUUAGAUCCUUUAUGAUUAGAGAAUAUAACUCUCUUAAGAUUCCUUGAGUUUUCAACAACUUUACUCUGCUACUUUUGUGAGGCAUGCAUUUUUAUCCUGGGUGUAAUUUUGGAUAAAAUAUUGCAUUUUUUUCUGUCUUAGACCAAGUGUAUAUAAAUAGGGAAAAUACAAUACUUUAUUCAUAGGCUUGUUGGAGCAUAUAUGAGAUUAUGUCUUAAAGUGUGCUCUGUAACCUGGAAAAGGCAAUACGAAAGUUACUUAUUAAACUGAUGAAAUUUC